rnacentral:rRNA from 1 species
GGUUAAGCGACUAAGCGUACACGGUGGAUGCCCUGGCAGUCAGAGGCGAUGAAGGACGUGCUAAUCUGCGAAAAGCGCCGGCGAGGUGAUAUGAACCUUUGACCCGGCGAUGUCCGAAUGGGGAAACCCAGUGCAAUCCGUUGCACUAUCGUUAACUGAAUACAUAGGUUAACGAGGCGAACCGGGGGAACUGAAACAUCUAAGUACCCCGAGGAAAAGAAAUCAACCGAGAUUCCCCCAGUAGCGGCGAGCGAACGGGGAGCAGCCCGGAGUCUGAAUCAGCUUGUGUGUUAGUGGAACGGUCUGGAAAGUCCGACGGUACAGGGUGAUAGUCCCGUACACGAAAGCACACAUGCUGUGAACUCGAAGAGUAGGGCGGGACACGUGGUAUCCUGUCUGAAUAUGGGGGGACCAUCCUCCAAGGCUAAAUACUCCUGACUGACCGAUAGUGAACCAGUACCGUGAGGGAAAGGCGAAAAGAACCCCGGCGAGGGGAGUGAAAAAGAACCUGAAACCGUGUACGUACAAGCAGUGGGAGCCUCUUUAUGGGGUGACUGCGUACCUUUUGUAUAAUGGGUCAGCGACUUAUAUUCUGUAGCAAGGUUAACCGUAUAGGGGAGCCGAAGGGAAACCGAGUCUUAACUGGGCGUUAAGUUGCAGGGUAUAGACCCGAAACCCGGUGAUCUAGCCAUGGGCAGGUUGAAGGUUGGGUAACACUAACUGGAGGACCGAACCGACUAAUGUUGAAAAAUUAGCGGAUGACCUGUGGCUGGGGGUGAAAGGCCAAUCAAACCGGGAGAUAGCUGGUUCUCCCCGAAAGCUAUUUAGGUAGCGCCUCGUGAAUUCAUCUUCGGGGGUAGAGCACUGUUUCGGCUAGGGGGCCAUCCCGGCUUACCAACCCGAUGCAAACUACGAAUACCGAAGAAUGUUAUCACGGGAGACACACGGCGGGUGCUAACGUCCGUCGUGAAGAGGGAAACAACCCAGACCGCCAGCUAAGGUCCCAAAGUCAUGGUUAAGUGGGAAACGAUGUGGGAAGGCACAGACAGCCAGGAUGUUGGCUUAGAAGCAGCCAUCAUUUAAAGAAAGCGUAAUAGCUCACUGGUCGAGUCGGCCUGCGCGGAAGAUGUAACGGGGCUAAACCAUGCACCGAAGCUGCGGCAGCGACGCUUAGGCGUUGUUGGGUAGGGGAGCGUUCUGUAAGCCGUUGAAGGUGUGCUGUGAGGCAUGCUGGAGGUAUCAGAAGUGCGAAUGCUGACAUAAGUAACGAUAAAGCGGGUGAAAAGCCCGCUCGCCGGAAGACCAAGGGUUCCUGUCCAACGUUAAUCGGGGCAGGGUGAGUCGACCCCUAAGGCGAGGCCGAAAGGCGUAGUCGAUGGGAAACAGGUUAAUAUUCCUGUACUUGGUGUUACUGCGAAGGGGGGACGGAGAAGGCUAUGUCAGCCGGGCGACGGUUGUCCCGGUUUAAGCAUGUAGGCGGAGGUUCCAGGUAAAUCCGGUACCUUGUUAACGCUGAGGUGUGAUGACGAGGCACUACGGUGCUGAAGUGAUAAAUGCCCUGCUUCCAGGAAAAGCCUCUAAGCAUCAGGUAACACGAAAUCGUACCCCAAACCGACACAGGUGGUCAGGUAGAGAAUACCAAGGCGCUUGAGAGAACUCGGGUGAAGGAACUAGGCAAAAUGGUGCCGUAACUUCGGGAGAAGGCACGCUGAUAUGUAGGUGAAGCCCCUGCGGGCGGAGCUGAAAUCAGUCGAAGAUACCAGCUGGCUGCAACUGUUUAUUAAAAACACAGCACUGUGCAAACACGAAAGUGGACGUAUACGGUGUGACGCCUGCCCGGUGCCGGAAGGUUAAUUGAUGGGGUUAGCGGCAACGCGAAGCUCUUGAUCGAAGCCCCGGUAAACGGCGGCCGUAACUAUAACGGUCCUAAGGUAGCGAAAUUCCUUGUCGGGUAAGUUCCGACCUGCACGAAUGGCGUAAUGAUGGCCAGGCUGUCUCCACCCGAGACUCAGUGAAAUUGAACUCGCUGUGAAGAUGCAGUGUACCCGCGGCAAGACGGAAAGACCCCGUGAACCUUUACUAUAGCUUGACACUGAACACUGGUCCUUGAUGUGUAGGAUAGGUGGGAGGCUUUGAAGCGUGGACGCCAGUCUGCGUGGAGCCAACCUUGAAAUACCACCCUUUAAUGGCUGGUGUUCUAACGUAGACCCGUAAUCCGGGUUGCGGACAGUGUCUGGUGGGUAGUUUGACUGGGGCGGUCUCCUCCCAAAGAGUAACGGAGGAGCACGAAGGUUGGCUAAUCCUGGUCGGACAUCAGGAGGUUAGUGCAAUGGCAUAAGCCAGCUUGACUGCGAGCGUGACGGCGCGAGCAGGUGCGAAAGCAGGUCAUAGUGAUCCGGUGGUUCUGAAUGGAAGGGCCAUCGCUCAACGGAUAAAAGGUACUCCGGGGAUAACAGGCUGAUACCGCCCAAGAGUUCAUAUCGACGGCGGUGUUUGGCACCUCGAUGUCGGCUCAUCACAUCCUGGGGCUGAAGUAGGUCCCAAGGGUAUGGCUGUUCGCCAUUUAAAGUGGUACGCGAGCUGGGUUUAGAACGUCGUGAGACAGUUCGGUCCCUAUCUGCCGUGGGCGCUGGAGAAUUGAGGGGGGCUGCUCCUAGUACGAGAGGACCGGAGUGGACGCAUCACUGGUGUUCGGGUUGUCAUGCCAAUGGCACUGCCCGGUAGCUAAAUGCGGAAGAGAUAAGUGCUGAAAGCAUCUAAGCACGAAACUUGCCCCGAGAUGAGUUCUCCCUGAGACCUUGAGUCUCCUGAAGGAACGUUGAAGACGACGACGUUGAUAGGUCGGGUGUGUAAGCGCAGCGAUGCGUUGAGCUAACCGAUACUAAUGAACCGUGAGGCUUAACCUU